CCUUUAGACCUUCGGAAU
rnacentral:snRNA from 1 species